GGGUUGUGAGGUUAAGCGACUAAGCGUACACGGUGGAUGCCCUGGCAGUCAGAGGCGAUGAAGGACGUGCUAAUCUGCGAAAAGCGUCGGUAAGGUGAUAUGAACCGUUACAGCCGGCGAUGUCCGAAUGGGGAAACCCAGUGCAAUUCGUUGCACUAUCGUUAACUGAAUACAUAGGUUAACGAGGCGAACCGGGGGAACUGAAACAUCUAAGUACCCCGAGGAAAAGAAAUCAACCGAGAUUCCCCCAGUAGCGGCGAGCGAACGGGGAGCAGCCCAGAGUCUGAAUCAGCUUGUGUGUUAGUGGAACGGUCUGGAAAGUCCGACGGUACAGGGUGAUAGUCCCGUACACCAAAAUGCACAGGUUGUGAACUCGAAGAGUAGGGCGGGACACGUGGUAUCCUGUCUGAAUAUGGGGGGACCAUCCUCCAAGGCUAAAUACUCCUGACUGACCGAUAGUGAACCAGUACCGUGAGGGAAAGGCGAAAAGAACCCCGGCGAGGGGAGUGAAAAAGAACCUGAAACCGUGUACGUACAAGCAGUGGGAGCACCUUCGGGUGUGACUGCGUACCUUUUGUAUAAUGGGUCAGCGACUUAUAUUCUGUAGCAAGGUUAACCGUAUAGGGGAGCCGCAGGGAAACCGAGUCUUAACUGGGCGUUAAGUUGCAGGGUAUAGACCCGAAACCCGGUGAUCUAGCCAUGGGCAGGUUGAAGGUUGGGUAACACUAACUGGAGGACCGAACCGACUAAUGUUGAAAAAUUAGCGGAUGACUUGUGGCUGGGGGUGAAAGGCCAAUCAAACCGGGAGAUAGCUGGUUCUCCCCGAAAGCUAUUUAGGUAGCGCCUCGUGAACUCAUCUUCGGGGUAGAGCACUGUUUCGGCUAGGGGGUCAUCCCGACUUACCAACCCGAUGCAAACUACGAAUACCGAAGAAUGUUAUCACGGGAGACACACGGCGGGUGCUAACGUCCGUCGUGAAGAGGGAAACAACCCAGACCGCCAGCUAAGGUCCCAAAGUCAUGGUUAAGUGGGAAACGAUGUGGGAAGGCACAGACAGCCAGGAUGUUGGCUUAGAAGCAGCCAUCAUUUAAAGAAAGCGUAAUAGCUCACUGGUCGAGUCGGCCUGCGCGGAAGAUGUAACGGGGCUAAACCAUGCACCGAAGCUGCGGCAGCGACACUAUGUGUUGUUGGGUAGGGGAGCGUUCUGUAAGCCUGCGAAGGUGUGCUGUGAGGCAUGCUGGAGGUAUCAGAAGUGCGAAUGCUGACAUAAGUAACGAUAAAGCGGGUGAAAAGCCCGCUCGCCGGAAGACCAAGGGUUCCUGUCCAACGUUAAUCGGGGCAGGGUGAGUCGACCCCUAAGGCGAGGCCGAAAGGCGUAGUCGAUGGGAAACAGGUUAAUAUUCCUGUACUUGGUGUUACUGCGAAGGGGGACGGAGAAGGCUAUGUUAGCCGGGCGACGGUUGUCCCGGUUUAAGCAUGUAGGCUGGUUAUCCAGGCAAAUCCGGAUAAUCAAGGCUGAGGUGUGAUGACGAGGCACUACGGUGCUGAAGUAACAAAUGCCCUGCUUCCAGGAAAAGCCUCUAAGCAUCAGGUAACAUCAAAUCGUACCCCAAACCGACACAGGUGGUCAGGUAGAGAAUACCAAGGCGCUUGAGAGAACUCGGGUGAAGGAACUAGGCAAAAUGGUGCCGUAACUUCGGGAGAAGGCACGCUGGUGUGUAGGUGAAGUCCCUGCGGAUGGAGCUGAGACCAGUCGAAGAUACCAGCUGGCUGCAACUGUUUAUUAAAAACACAGCACUGUGCAAACACGAAAGUGGACGUAUACGGUGUGACGCCUGCCCGGUGCCGGAAGGUUAAUUGAUGGGGUUAUCCGUAAGGAGAAGCUCUUGAUCGAAGCCCCGGUAAACGGCGGCCGUAACUAUAACGGUCCUAAGGUAGCGAAAUUCCUUGUCGGGUAAGUUCCGACCUGCACGAAUGGCGUAAUGAUGGCCAGGCUGUCUCCACCCGAGACUCAGUGAAAUUGAACUCGCUGUGAAGAUGCAGUGUACCCGCGGCAAGACGGAAAGACCCCGUGAACCUUUACUAUAGCUUGACACUGAACAUUGAGCCUUGAUGUGUAGGAUAGGUGGGAGGCUUUGAAGCGUGGACGCCAGUCUGCGUGGAGCCAACCUUGAAAUACCACCCUUUAAUGUUUGAUGUUCUAACGUUGGCCCCUGACCGGGGUUGCGGACAGUGUCUGGUGGGUAGUUUGACUGGGGCGGUCUCCUCCCAAAGCGUAACGGAGGAGCACGAAGGUUAGCUAAUCCUGGUCGGACAUCAGGAGGUUAGUGCAAUGGCAUAAGCUAGCUUGACUGCGAGCGUGACGGCGCGAGCAGGUGCGAAAGCAGGUCAUAGUGAUCCGGUGGUUCUGAAUGGAAGGGCCAUCGCUCAACGGAUAAAAGGUACUCCGGGGAUAACAGGCUGAUACCGCCCAAGAGUUCAUAUCGACGGCGGUGUUUGGCACCUCGAUGUCGGCUCAUCACAUCCUGGGGCUGAAGUAGGUCCCAAGGGUAUGGCUGUUCGCCAUUUAAAGUGGUACGCGAGCUGGGUUUAGAACGUCGUGAGACAGUUCGGUCCCUAUCUGCCGUGGGCGCUGGAGAAUUGAGGGGGGCUGCUCCUAGUACGAGAGGACCGGAGUGGACGCAUCACUGGUGUUCGGGUUGUCAUGCCAAUGGCACUGCCCGGUAGCUAAAUGCGGAAGAGAUAAGUGCUGAAAGCAUCUAAGCACGAAACUUGCCCCGAGAUGAGUUCUCCCUGAGACUAUAAGUCUCCUGAAGGAACGUUGAAGACGACGACGUUGAUAGGCCGGGUGUGUAAGCGCAGCGAUGCGUUGAGCUAACCGGUACUAAUGAACCGUGAGGCUUAACCUUACAACGCCGAAG
rnacentral:rRNA from 1 species